rnacentral:lncRNA from 1 species
ACGACAAGAAAUAACUCCCUUCGUCCAAUGUGACAAACCACGUGGCAAUAUACACAUUUGUUCACCUUGGACUUGGGAGUGGGGGGCAACUAUUAGAAUAAACCAAUCAACCCCCAACUUUGGUCACCACGACUCUGAUUAUGCAUCGGCUGAACAUGCAGUUCCAACUCUUCAUCGACCAACUGAGUAAAUCACACCGACUUAUGAUCGGUUGAUUGAUGAAUGUUCGACUACUACCGAUUAACAGCAGAUGAUUUGAACCGUCAGCAUAACUGAACUACUAGCC